UCAUCACUAGAUGAGCCCACUCCUGUCAGC
rnacentral:piRNA from 1 species